GCGAUUCGACAUGGUCUGAUUUUAUUGAUUAUUUUGUUUUUAUUGAUGUUUAUAUGAAUUUUUAUUGAAGAAUCAUUUUAGUUAUUGUAUUUUUGUGAUUUAAUUUUUUAUACUAUAGUAUAUUUGUACUGUGAGGGGUCAUGUUAAUAUCUUUUUGGAAGCUGAUUUUUUUUGUUGUACCUUGUGUAUCAGGGUUCAUUGAAUUAUAUUAUUUAUUUUUAUUUCCCGAUUUUAAAGGAGUUAAUGAUUUAUGUUAGUUACUGUUUCAUUAGUAUUAAUAAUAGGUUAUUGGUAGUGAAAUGUUAAUCGUUUUUAGUGGUUUCUGGUUUUUCAAGAAAUGAAUUUAAUUCAUACAUUUUAUUUAAUUUCUGUUAUUGUUUUAUUAAUUUUUAUUUUAUGUUAAGAUUAAGGGGGAUUAGCUCCUUGUUUUAUUUUUAUAAUUUAUUUGGAUUAUAUUUAGUUUUGUGGAUUUUAUAGUGAUUUUCAAUUUGAUUAUGUUAAAAUUUUAUUUAUUUUUUUGUUUAUUUCCUUUAAUUUAAGUUUUAUAUUGAAAUGUUUAUUUUAUUUUAUUUUGUAUAGUAAUUAUUGUGUAAUUAGUAAAUCUGAUUUUUGUGUUGUUUAGUUGUUUGGGUGUUAAUUUCUUUUUAGGAAUUCGGCAAAUAUUUAUGUCCGCCUGUUUAACAAAAACAUCUUUUCUUGUCAGUUUUUGAAGUAUGGCCUGCCCACUGACUUAUUUGUUGAAGGGCCGCGGUAUUUUGACCGUGCAAAGGUAGCAUAAUCAUUAGUUCUUUAAUUGUGAUCUGGUAUGAAUGGCUUGACGAGGCAUAAGCUGUCUUAAUUGUAUUGUUUUAAUUGAAUUUGGUUUUUGAGUAAAAAUUCUUAAAUGUUUUUGUGGGACGAGAAGACCCUAUAGAGUUUGACACUUAUCUUUUCUUAUGUUGUGGUUUAGUUUUUAACUUUUAGCUGGAUAAUUGUUUUGUUGGGGUGAUGGGAGGAAUUUUUUUAACUCCUCUUUAUUUUUUAUACUUAUUUGUAUAGUUUUUGAUCCAUUUAUGUUGAUUAUAAGAUUAAAUUACCUUAGGGAUAACAGCGUUAUCUUCCUUGAGAGUUCUUAUUGGCGGGGAGGUUUGCGACCUCGAUGUUGGAUUAAGGUUAAUUUUCGGUGCAGGAGCUGAAAGUGAUUGGGUCUGUUCGACCUUUAAAAUCUUACAUGAUCUGAGUUCAGACCGGCGUGAGCCAGGUUGGUUUCUAUCUACAAUAGUAUUUUAUACCUUAGUACGAGAGGACCGGGUAUUUGGAAUAAUUUUUUGUUGUAUGAUUAUUAUUAACAUGUAUUACUAUUUUGGCAGAUAAGUGCAUUGGAUUUAGAAUCUAUUAA
rnacentral:rRNA from 1 species